CGCGUAGGAACCUACCUAGUAGUUUGGGAUAGCCCAGAGAAAUUUGGAUUAAUACCGCAUACGCUCUACGGAGGAAAGGGGGCUUCGGCUCUCGCUAUUGGAUGGGCCUGCGUGAGAUUAGCUAGUUGGUGAGGUAAUGGCUCACCAAGGCGACGAUCUCUAGCUGGUCUGAGAGGAUGAUCAGCCACACUGGGACUGAGACACGGCCCAGACUCCUACGGGAGGCAGCAGUGGGGAAUAUUGCACAAUGGGCGAAAGCCUGAUGCAGCCAUGCCGCGUGUGUGAAGAAGGCCUCGGUUG
rnacentral:rRNA from 1 species